AGUGGCAGACGGGUGAGUAACAUGUGGGUANCAACCCUUUGGCCUGGAAUAACACGAGGAAACUUGUGCUAAUACCGGAUAAGUCUUUACGGAGAAAGCUUUAUGCACCAUUGGAUGAGCCCGCACUUGAUUAGUUUGUUGGUAGGGUAAUGGCCUACCAAGACUAUGAUCAAUAGCUGAUUUGAGAGGAUGAUCAGCCACAUUGGGACUGAGACACGGCCCAAACUCCUACGGGAGGCAGCAGUGGGGAAUCUUGCACAAUGGAGGAAACUCUGAUGCAGCGAUGCCGCGUGAGUGAAGAAGGCCUUUGGGUUGUAAAGCUCUUUCGUCGGGGAAGAAAAUGACUGUACCCGAAUAAGAAGGUCCGGCUAACUUCGUGCCAGCAGCCGCGGUAAUACGAAGGGACCUAGCGUAGUUCGGAAUUACUGGGCUUAAAGAGUUCGUAGGUGGUUGAAAAAGUUGGUGGUGAAAUCCCAGAGCUUAACUCUGGAACUGCCAUCAAAACUUUUCAGCUAGAGUAUGAUAGAGGAAAGCAGAAUUUCUAGUGUAGAGGUGAAAUUCGUAGAUAUUAGAAAGAAUACCAAUUGCGAAGGCAGCUUUCUGGAUCAUUACUGACACUGAGGAACGAAAGCAUGGGUAGCGAAGAGGAUUAGAUACCCUCGUAGUCCAUGCCGA
rnacentral:rRNA from 1 species